rnacentral:rRNA from 1 species
UACGUAGGGGGCAAGCGUUGUCCGGAAUCAUUGGGCGUAAAGAGCGCGUAGGCGGUCCGGUAAGUCCGCUCUGAAAGUCCGGGGCUCAACCCCGGAUCUGCCGUGCCGACUGUCAAACUCGAGGACUGUAGAGGCAGACGGAAUUCCGGGUGUAGCGGUGGAAUGCGUAGAGAUCCGGAGGAAGACCGGUGGCUAAGGCGGUCUGCUGGGCAGUUUCUGACACUGAGGCGCGACAGCGUGGGGAGCAAACAGG